UACGGAGGGGGCUAGCGUUGCUCGGAAUCACUGGGCGUAAAGGGUGCGUAGGCGGGUUUUUAAGUCAGAGGUGAAAUCCUGGAGCUCAACUCCAGAACUGCCUUUGAUACUGAGAAUCUUGAGUACGGGAGAGGUGAGUGGAACUGCGAGUGUAGAGGUGAAAUUCGUAGAUAUUCGCAAGAACACCAGUGGCGAAGGCGGCUCACUGGCCCGUAACUGACGCUGAGGCACGAAAGCGUGGGGAGCAAACAGGG
rnacentral:rRNA from 1 species